AGCUCCAGGAGCGGGAGUGUCGAUGGGUUUAACGGGACCGAGUGCUGGGGCUGCGCUUGGGGCGGAACAAACCCUCGGACCGAUCCAGGCUGGGGAUGAGCAGAGGGAGAACAGCUCUGGGGAGGACUUGGGGCGUUGGUGGCUGAAAGGCUGGACAUGCCCUAGCCCUGAAACCCCUCGUGUGCUGGGCUGAUCCCCCUGCAUGGGCAGCAGGGAGGAGAGAUUCUGCCCCUAUGUCCCUGUGCUCAGGUGAGACCCACCCACCCCAGCCCUGGGGACAACAGCACAAGGACCCGGAGCUGCUGCAGAGAGCCCAGAGGAGCCUGGAGCUGCUGCAGGGCUGGAGCCCCUCUGCUGUGGAGCCAGGCUGGGAGAGCUGGGGGUGCUCACCUGGAGAGGAGAAGGAUCCAGGGAGAGCUCAGAGCCCCUGCAGGGCCUAAAGGGGCUCCAGGAGAGCUGCAGAGGGACUGGGACAAGGGCUGGAGGGACAGGACACAGGGAAUGGCUUCCACUGCCACAGGGCAGGGUUGUAUGGCAUUUUUGGAACCAAUCCUCGGGCACGCUCCCGCUCUGCCCCGCUCAGGUGCGAUCCCUCCGCAGAACCCCCGGGUGAUGACGUCACCAGCGGCCGCGCGAUCCCGGGGGCUGCCGGCCCCGCCCUUGCGCCGCCGUAAGCCCCGCCCCUCACGGCGUUCUCCGCGCUCCCAUUGGCUGCGUUCGCCUCCUCCCUCAGGGAUGGGGGUGACGUCAUCGCGGGGCGGGCAGAGCGCGGCCGCGGGCGGGGCAGGAGGCGCCCCCUGGCGGCGCAGGCGUGAGGGGGCAGAGAGCGCUGAGGGGAUUCGGGGCGGAGCGGCGCUGGAAACCAGGGAGCGCCGGAAUCGUGGAAAGGUUCGGGUGGGAAAUCAAAGCCCAUCCAGUGCCGCCCCCUGCCACAGGGAGGCAAACCUUCUUGCAAGAACCAGGCUGUGGAACCACCGGUGAAGGCACUGGAAAUGCUGGAGAUGCCUCAUCACAGGUUCUGCACAACCCAACCCUUCUCUCACGCUGAAUCCCGAGCUGUCCCAUGGGAGGACAGGCUUUUCUCCAGGGCUGCUCCAGCCAACACCACUACCAGCUGGCCAAACAGCAAGAAAAAGCCUGAGGAAUGUCAACCCAACACUGCCAACGUGAUCUCCCUGUUCCCAACGUGUGUGCCUCCAUCUGUCCCCACAGCAGCAUCCACAGAGGGAAGAGGUCCUCCCUGGGGACAGGGCUGCCUCCUGUGACCCUGGCAGCACAGGCAGGACUCUGACCAGAGGAUGUUGGUGAGCUCCAGGACGAUUUCCUGGUGACAGCGAAGGUGAGAAGGUUUUGGCAGCCAUGGAGUGCUCCUGUUACGACCUUGGUUUAGACAAAGUGAGAAUGCUCCAGGGCUGGGCCACGGCAGCGAGCUGGGAAUGGCAGCAGGACCUGGGAAUGAGGGACUGCACCGGCCCUGAGCAGAGGCUGCAGUGAGAGCAGCUCUGAGACAAUCUCAGAGGGGGCUGGGAGGGGGGAGCUGUCCCCAGUCCCACAUCAGCUGCAGCUGGGGGCUGAGCAUCCCCUCCCCAAGGGGAACAGGGCUGGCUCAGGGGGAGCUGCUGCUCCGGGGCAUGUGGGGACAGGGACACCCAGGACCUGUGUCCCCUUUAUUGGCCUUUCCCCUGGAAUGCCGCGGGGAUGGUGGUGCUGAAGGAGAUGGGAGAGGGUCCCCUGGGUGGGAGAGCAUCACCCCAGCACUGCCUGGCUCUGGCUGAUGUUGCUGCCCAGCCCAGGCAGCCAGGGAAUGCCGAGAGUCCAGGGUAGAUUGUGGGAAGGAGGUCCCAAGGUCUCAUGCCACCCUCACUGCCAGCCAAGGGUGUCUCAGUGACUGUGGGGUACAUGGGGCCACAGCCCCCCAGCUCCCCCCAGUCACCCAUAAGAGCUGAGAUUUGGGGUGGCCACAGUACGCAGGGAUGGCUGCAGUGUCCCACAGGUGACUGUGCUGUCCAGGGAUGCCCUUGGUGGCCCAGGUCUGGCUGCAGUGUCUCAAAAGUGGCCAUGGUGUCCCGGUGUUGGCUGUAGUGUCCCAGGGAUGGCUGCAGUACCCAAAGGCAACCACAUUUCCAGGGGCUGGAUACUCUCAGGGGUAUCUGUGUUGUCCUGGCAGCUGCCACAAUGCCCAAGGGAUGGCUGGGGUGUCCCAGGGUGGCUGCAGGAUGUGGGAACCCGUGGUGGGGAGGAACAGGAAAACCAAGGUCACAGGAUCCGGGAUCCCCCAGCUCUGCUGGGGCACUUUGGGACAGAUGCAGACCCCAAAUGUCAUCCCACCCUGUACGGCACCUAGACCAUGUCCCCUGCCCCAGCCAGCUCGGUGUCACCCCUGGCUCAGGAUCCAGCAAUCCCUGCAUGUGCUCAGUUCCCGUGUGCCAUCCCGUGCCAACAGCUGCACUGGGAUGUCACCAGCCGUGCCACCAGGACCCUCCAUGCACACCGUGUCCCCACAGACACCACAUCACCCCAUAGAUGCCAUAUCACCCCAUAGACACCGUGUCCCCAUAGACACCGUAUCACCCCAUAGACACCACAUCACCCCAUAGACACCGUGUCCCCAUAGAUACCAUGUCCCCAUAGACACCAUGUCCUCUUAGACACCGUGUCCCCAUACACACCAUAUCACCCCAUAGACACCACAUCACCCCAUAGACACCAUAUCACCCCAUAGACACUGUAUCACCCCAUGGACAUCGUAUCACCCUAUAGACACCGUGUCCCCAUAGAUACCAUGUCCCCAUAGACACCAUGUCCUCUUAGACACCGUGUCCCCAUACACACCAUAUCACCCCAUAGACACCAUAUCACCCCAUAGACACCAUAUCACCCCAUACACACCAUAUCACCCCACAGACACCACAUCACCCCAUAGAUGCCAUAUCACCCCAUAGACACCGUGUCCCCAUAGACACUGUAUCACCCCAUAGACACCACAUCACCCCAUAGACACCAUAUCACCCCAUAGACACUGUAUCACCCCAUAGACACCAUAUCCCUGUAGGCACCAUGCACACACCAUACCCCUCCCAUACACACAGGAGGCUCUGGACUCUGCCCUGGCUGCUCUGGGGGCUUCUGUGGGGUGGUUCCCCUAUAGUCUUCCUGCCCAGGCAUCCCAGAGCUGGCCCAGGAUGGUCACAAUGAGGGUGCACUGUCCCCUCAGCCCCACUGUCUCAGGAACAGUCCUGAGGGUCAGCCCCGAGGCCAGAAGCCGCUGGCCACCACCAGCACACUCUGGUCCUGUGCUGACACCUGUGGGCAAGGGACUGUCCUCAUGUGUCACCCUGUCCUACCUGGCACCCUGCCCCACCUGGCACUGUGUCCCUACGUGUCAUCCUGUCCGUACAUGUCACCUCAUCCUCCCUAUGUCACCGUGUCCCUACAGGUUACCCCAGCUGACAUGUCACGCUGUCCCUACAGGUCACCCCAGCUGACAUGUCACGCUGUCCUUACCCAUCACACUGUCCCCACAUGUCCCUGCUCCUGACAUGUCCCCUCUGUCUCUUUGCUGUGUCUCAUGCCCUGCCUAAACAUCCUCCUGUUCCUGUGUGUCACCCACCUGCCUGUCCCCACAGCCUGGUCCUGUGGGGGAUUUGGGGCUGGGCCACCACAGCCAGGGGCUGCCAGGGGAGCAGGGCUAUGGUGCCCCUGAACUCAUCCUUGGGGACACAGGGACAGUGCCACAGGCAGAGCCACGCAGCACCUGUGUCCCUCCCCAUGGCACAGGGCCUUGGUGGGGAGCCAGGAUGUGGAGACUGCAGUGGGGACAGGACCAUCAGUCUGUGCUGUGCCAUGGGGGCUGUCCCCUCCCAAUGGCUGUGGCCCUGACAGGGCCCAACUGCAGCAUCCUGGGAUGGAUCCUCCCCUGGGAAAGGGCAGGAAAGGAAAGGUGGCCCAGCAGUGACCCCCUCCACAGCCCCUAUUGUCCCCCCUUCCAGUUCUCUACCUCCUCCAUCUUCCCAUCACUCCCUUCCUGCCUCCCCAUAACAUCCUCCAUCCCUCCUCUGUCCCUCCAUCCCUCCUCCAUCCUCCUGUACUGUCCCCUCCAUUUGUCACCCUCCCCAUCACCUCCAUCCAUCCAUCCCCCUGCAUCAUCCCUGUCAUCCUCCCUCCACCCCCCUUCCAUCACUGCUGCAUCCCCCCUCCCACCCUACCUCCCCUGAAG